rnacentral:ncRNA from 2 species
ACGAUCGAUGCGGGAGAGCCGAAAGCGCGUGAAGCGUGGACGGCACCGAAGGAGCAAUCCUCCCCGACAAUCUCUCAGGUAUGCGUACCGCAUCGAACGG